rnacentral:piRNA from 1 species
UACAGAGUGACUACUUGGGUUGUCUCUGC